AUUGAACGCUGGCGGCAUGCUUUACACAUGCAAGUCGAACGGUAACAGGUUAAGCUGACGAGUGGCGAACGGGUGAGUAAUGCAUCGGAACGUGCCCGGUCGUGGGGGAUAACGCAGCGAAAGCUGCGCUAAUACCGCAUACGAUCUGAGGAUGAAAGCGGGGGACCGUAAGGCCUCGCGCGAUCGGAGCGGCCGAUGUCAGAUUAGGUAGUUGGUGGGGUAAAGGCUCACCAAGCCGACGAUCUGUAGCUGGUCUGAGAGGACGACCAGCCACACUGGGACGUAGACACGGCCCAGACUCCAACGGGAGGCAGCAGUGGGGAAUUUUGGACAAUGGGCGCAAGCCUGAUCCAGCGAUGCCGCGUGCAGGAAGAAGGCCUUCGGGUUGUAAACUGCUUUUGUACGGAACGAAAAGGCUCUCUCUAAUACAGGGAGCUCAUGACGGUACCGUAAGAAUAAGCACCGGCUAACUACGUGCCAGCCGCCGCGGUAA
rnacentral:rRNA from 1 species